rnacentral:sRNA from 1 species
GCCAGGCAAGGUGGCGCAUGCCUGUAAUCCCAGUGACUUGGGAGGCUGAGGGAGGAGGAUCCUGAGUUCAAAGCCAGUCUCAGCAACUUAGUGAGACCCUGUCUCUA